AAAACAGGGACUAACGCUGGCGGCGUGCCUAACACAUGCAAGUCGAACGAGUUGUUUAUAGUAGCAAUAUUGUGAACAGCAAGUGGCGAACGGGUGAGUAACACGUAGAUAAUCUGCCUUUCAGACGGGGAUAACUCAGGGAAACUUGUGCUAAUACCCGAUGAGACUACGAGGGGGGACCUUCGCAGCCAAAGGUGGGCGAAAGCUCACGCUGGAAGAUGAGUCUGCGUCCUAUCAGCUAGUUGGUGGGGUAAAAGCCUACCAAGGCGAAGACGGGUAGCCGGCCUGAGAGGGUGAACGGCCACACUGGGACUGAGACACGGCCCAGACUCCUACGGGAGGCAGCAGUGAGGAAUUUUCCGCAAUGGGCGCAAGCCUGACGGAGCGACGCCGCGUGAGGGAUGACGGCCUUCGGGUUGUAAACCUCUUUUAUUAAGGAAAAAGGCAAUCGUGCUAACACCACGGUUGUUUGAUGGUACUUAUUGAAUAAGCCCCGGCUAACUACGUGCCAACAG
rnacentral:rRNA from 1 species